GCCUAACACAUGCAAGUCGAACGGCAGCACAGAGGAGCUUGCUCCUUGGGUGGCGAGUGGCGGACGGGUGAGGAAUACAUCGGAAUCUACUCUGUCGUGGGGGAUAACGUAGGGAAACUUACGCUAAUACCGCAUACGACCUACGGGUGAAAGCAGGGGAUCUUCGGACCUUGCGCGAUUGAAUGAGCCGAUGUCGGAUUAGCUAGUUGGCGGGGUAAAGGCCCACCAAGGCGACGAUCCGUAGCUGGUCUGAGAGGAUGAUCAGCCACACUGGAACUGAGACACGGUCCAGACUCCUACGGGAGGCAGCAGUGGGGAAUAUUGGACAAUGGGCGCAAGCCUGAUCCAGCCAUACCGCGUGGGUGAAGAAGGCCUUCGGGUUGUAAAGCCCUUUUGUUGGGAAAGAAAUCCAGCUGGCUAAUACCCGGUUGGGAUGACGGUACCCAAAGAAUAAGCACCGGCUAACUUCGUGCCAGCAGCCGCGGUAAUACGAAGGGUGCAAGCGUUACUCGGAAUUACUGGGCGUAAAGCGUGCGUAGGUGGUCGUUUAAGUCCGUUGUGAAAGCCCUGGGCUCAACCCUGGGAACUGCAGUGGAUACUAUGACGAGGUAGAGUGUGGUAGAGG
rnacentral:rRNA from 1 species